rnacentral:rRNA from 1 species
GACGUAGACCCGAAACCAGGCGACCUAUCCAUGAGCAGGUUGAAGCGAAAGUAAAAUUUCGUGGAGGACCGAACCCACGUACGUUGAAAAGUGCGGGGAUGACUUGUGGAUAGCGGUGAAAUUCCAAUCGAGCCUGGAGAUAGCUGGUUCUCCCCGAAAUAGCUUUAGGGCUAGCCUCAAGCUUAGAGAAACGGAGGUAGAGCACUGAAUGUCCUAGGGGGUAUUGCACUUACCGAAGACUAUCAAACUCCGAAUGCCGUAUUCUUUUGCUUGGGAGUCAGACUAUGGGUGAUAAGAUUCAUAGUCAAGAGGGCAACAGCCCAGAUCGUCAGCUAAGGUCCCUAAAUGUAAGUUAAGUGGUAAAGGAUGUGGGAUUGCACAGACAACCAGGAUGUUGGCUUAGAAGCAGCCACUCAUUUAAAGAGUGCGUAAUAGCUCACUGGUCGAGUGAUUCUGCGCCGAAAAUUUCCGGGGCUAAAACUUACUACCGAAGCUACGGCAUCAUUAUGAUGGGUAGGGGAGCUUUCUAUGUGGCUUGAAGCAUGACCGUAAGGACAUGUGGACUGCAUAGAAGUGAGAAUGUUGGCAUGAGUAGCGAGAUGUGGGUGAGAAUCCCACAGGCCGUAAACCCAAGGUUUCCAGGGGAAGGUUCGUCCGCCCUGGGUUAGUCAGGACCUAAGCCGAGGCCGAAAGGCGUAGGUGAUGGACAACAGGUUGAUAUUCCUGUACCACCAAUAACCGUUUGAGAAAUGGGAUGACACAGUAGGAUAAGCUAACCGCACUGUUGGUUAUGUGCGGGCAAGUAUUGAGGCAGUUCCGAUAGGCAAAUCCGUCGGAAUAAUGCUGGGGUACGAUGCGGAGCGAAAUUUAGUAGCGAAGUAGCUGAUUUCACACUGUCGAGAAAAGUCUCUAUCGAGGUUAAAGGUGCCUGUACCGCAAACCGACACAGGUGGGUGAGGAGAGUAUCCUAAGGCCAGCGAGAGAACUGUUGUUAAGGAACUCGGCAAAAUGACCCCGUAACUUAGGGAGAAGGGGUGCCAUGGAAACAUGGCCGCAGAGAAUAGGCCCAAGCGACUGUUUACCAAAAACAUAGGUUUCUGCUAAGUCGCAAGACGAUGUAUAGGAGCUGACGCCUGCCCGGUGCUGGAAGGUUAAGGGGAUCUGUUAGAGCAAUCGAAGCAGUGAACUUAAGCCCCAGUAAACGGCGGCCGUAACUAUAACGGUCCUAAGGUAGCGAAAUUCCUUGUCGGGUAAGUUCCGACCCGCACGAAAGGCGUAACGAUUUGGGCACUGUCUCAACAACAGACUCGGUGAAAUUGUAAUACCGGUGAAGAUGCCGGUUACCUGCGACAGGACGGAAAGACCCCAUGGAGCUUUACUGUAGCUUGACAUUGAGUCUCGGUGCUACAUGUACAGGAUAGGUGGGAGACUAUGAAGCAUGGACGUCAGUCUGUGUGGAGUCAUCCUUGGGAUACCACCCUUGUAGUACUGGGAUUCUAACCAGAGGCCAUGAAUCUGGUCUUGGGACACUGUCAGGUGGACAGUUUGACUGGGGCGGUCGCCUCCCAAAAAGUAACGGAGGCGCUCAAAGGUUCUCUCAGUACGGUCGGAAAUCGUACGAAGAGUGUAAAGGCAAAAGAGAGCUUGAUUGCAAGACAUACAGGUCGAGCAAGGACGAAAGUCGGACUUAGUGAUCCGGUGGUUCCGCAUGGAAGGGCCAUCGCUCAACGGAUAAAAGCUA